rnacentral:lncRNA from 1 species
UCUGGACAGUCCACUGCCAGACGGUUACAGAUAUCGCUAUCAGUCUGUCGCCCCCUUGGCCUAUAAAAUGGGGCCCCAGAUACGUUAUCCUCUAAGCUCUAUUUUCUAUCCCAAAACUCUGCUAAAAUUUUCGUUCGAGCACUCCAUUCUUGUUGAGGCAGAGAACUGACUUGAGCAUCAAAGGGUCUUGCCGGAGCAACCCCAC